GAGAAAUCGUGCAUCUCUCUCUCUCUGUCUCUCUCUCUCUCUCUCUCUAUAUAUAUAUAUAUAGAGAGAGAGAGAGAGAGAGAGAGAGAGAGAGAGCUCUAUAGAGCUU
rnacentral:miRNA from 1 species